rnacentral:rRNA from 1 species
CAGCAGCCGCGGUAAUACGUAGGUGGCAAGCGUUGUCCGGAAUUAUUGGGCGUAAAGGGCUCGCAGGCGGUUUCUUAAGUCUGAUGUGAAAGCCCCCGGCUCAACCGGGGAGGGUCAUUGGAAACUGGGAAACUUGAGUGCAGAAGAGGAGAGUGGAAUUCCACGUGUAGCGGUGAAAUGCGUAGAGAUGUGGAGGAGCACCAGUGGCGAAGGCGACUCUCUGGUCUGUAACUGACGCUGAGGAGCGAAAGCGUGGGGAGCGAACAGGAUUAGAUACCCCCGUAGUCCCUGUCUCUUAUAA